rnacentral:lncRNA from 1 species
CUGACACAACCAUGAGGCUGAACUUUCAAAGCUUUGGCUACUUUACAGAGAGACGGAACGGGCUGCUCGCGUGGGUCACCGAGCGGGGCUGACCGUGCCCACAGCUGCUGCACUCAUCUUCUUGCUGGGACCGCCUACUAGCAGGAGCCUGUGAAAGUUGGGAGGAAAAGGUCUUUCAUAUUUGGUCUAGGAACCUGGCUCUCAUAAUACUGUAUUCUAAAAGUGUUUUUUCUUUGGAAGGCAGAGUGGACAGUGAGAGAGAGAGACAGAGAGAAAGGUCUUCCUUUAACGUUGGUUCACCCUCCAACGGCCGCCGCGGCUGGCGUACCGCACUGAUCCGAAGCCAGGAGCCAGGUGUUUCUCCUGGUCUCCCAUGGGGUGCAGGGCCCAAGCACUUGGGCCAUCCUCCACUGCAUUCCUGGACCACAGCAGAGAGCUGGCCUGGAAGAGGAGCAACCGGGACAGAAUCUGGCACCCCGACCAGGACUAGAACCCGGCGUGCCAGCACUGCAGGUGGAGGAUUAGCCUAGUGAGCCGCAGCACCAGCACUUUGAAUGUUUUUCAAAGAUUUAUUUAUUUAUUUAUUUGAAAGUCAGAGUUACACAGAGAGAGAAAAAGCAGACAGACAGAGAGAGAGAGCUGCUUUACUCCCGAAUAGACCGCAAUGGCGGGAGCUGCACUGAUCCAGAGCCAGGAGCUUCUUCCAGGUCUCCCGUGGCCGCCUCACGAGCUCCAGGCUUGGUAGCGCUGGCGCCGCUCUCUCGCCGCGCUGCUCGGCGUCCCAGAGCAGGAACUGGAGCCCGCACACUCCUGCUUCCUGCAGCACUUCUUGAACGCCAUGGAAAUCUGCUCCGAAACGUGUCCAUCAGGCGCGGCAGCGCUCGAACAGACGCCCACGCCGGGGCCCACCGAGGGGUCCACGCCCGCCCUCGUCCGCGCUGGGUCCACCGAGGGGUCCACGCCCGCCCUCGCCGGGUCCACCGAGGGGUCCACGUCCGCCCCCGCCCACGCCGGGUCCAAUGAAACCGAAUUGGAAUUUGACAAUUACCUAGAAUAUGGCUGUCAUAAAAUGGACAUGAAAAUAGAUAAUGA